CAGUAGCCGCGGGAAUACGGAGGAUCCAAGCGUUAUCCGGAAUCAUUGGGUUUAAAGGGUCCGUAGGCGGUCUUGUAAGUCAGUGGUGAAAGCCCAUCGCUCAACGGUGGAACGGCCAUUGAUACUGCAGGACUUGAAUUAUUGGGAAGUAACUAGAAUAUGUAGUGUAGCGGUGAAAUGCUUAGAGAUUACAUGGAAUACCAAUUGCGAAGGCAGGUUACUACCAAUUGAUUGACGCUGAUGGACGAAAGCGUGGGUAGCGAACAGGAUUAGAUACCCCCGUAGUCUCUGUCUCUUAUAC
rnacentral:rRNA from 1 species